CCAUUCCAUUGCAUUGCAUUUUGUUGUACUGUACUUGUACUGUUCAAUGACAAUAAAGUUGAAAUCUAAUCUAAUCUAAUUUUGCGUACGAUGCAGUGUGCUUAUCAACAUUCUAUGCAAAGGUAUCUCUUACAGGCAAGACACAUCAGAAGGCACGUCCACAUCGUUUCUUUGUUGACUAUGUUUUGGGGGAAGGCCAUGGUUUGUGGAAGUAUAUUCAUGGUCUGGUGUCGUUUGACACACCCUCCUUUCCCUAUAUGCACAACUUUUUAUGUGUUUACUUUAGUGCAUCCAAUUUUGUCCACUAUCUUCACAAGCUUUCAAGGUCCUGACGCAGAGAAACUUCCUCAUAGAAUAAUUCUGUCACCACCAUAUUUCAGGCUAAGGACAGUGUUCUCAGAAGGAUGUGCGGUGUUCAGCUUGAGCCAAAAUUAUCGCCCAGCUUUUGAGGACAAAAUAACUCUAUGUUGGUUUUCUCCAACCAUAUAAUUUUCUUCCACUUCUCAGAUUCUUCCACAUGCCUUCUGGCAAACUUUAGCUGAGAUUUGAUGAUGACUACCUUAGUGAAGCACCCAGACUAUUGUUGCAGUAUGCACAAGUGUGUUCCAACUCAGCUGAUGAAAACUGAAGGCGGGGCCAUGCAGCAGGCAGAUUGUAGGCCUUGAGAUCACUUAGCGUUAGUUUUACCUCAGAUCGCUAACUCACCUCACUCUAUAUUUUAUUCACCACCCACGGCAAGCACUUACAUUUUAGUGAUUGGCCUGGGUCAAGCAUUAUAUGGUAAUCGUGACCUCUGUGCCAAUCAGAAAAUGGGAGAAGAAACUAGGGGAAUCAACAAGGGAGGGGAACUUUUUAUUUUGGGCACAUGCGUGAAACCGAUAUUCUACAUAUCUUUUGCUGCUGAGAAUGGCCGGUGUGAAUGCUAAUUGUUCAAACCUCUGGGCACCAAUCAAGCGCCAACAUGCACAACCAUUAACUCCUUUAGAAUUGCCAUAGGCCUCUUAGUGGCUUGUUAAUUUCUUCAUUAUGGACUUUACUGUGCUCCAGGGUUAUUUAAUGCCUGGGAAAUAUUUCCUACCACUGAUUGGUGCUCUUAGAGAACCAUAUUCCAGAUUUGUUUGGAAUGUUCCUUCAUCUUUCUUGAUGUAGUUUUUGUAAGGAAAUGUACUAACCAACUGAGGGCCCUCCCAGAGACAGGUGUAUCUAACAUGAAAUCAUGUGAAACAGCUCAACUGCACACAGGUGGACUUCAUUAAAGUAAUUGUAUGGCAUCUAAAGACAACUGGUUGCGCCACAGUUUAUUUAUGGAAAAGGGGAUAAGGACUGGUGCAAUCAAUUAUAUUUUGUUUUAUAUUUGUGACUAAUUCAGAACAUUUAGCAGAUUUAGCUUUAAACUUUGACAGAAUGGAUUUGUUUGUGUAACUAAAACUCCUGAAUCAAAUACAUUUUAAUUUGAUGUUGUAACAACAUUUUAUUUGGGAUGACUCUGAAUGCAAAUGCACUGCUAGGGCAGGGCAGGACACACAGCUUUGUGACUUUUUUGCUUACCCAACUGAAUAUUUGUUUUACGUCAUUUUUAAAAGGAUAAUAUUUUUGGAAAGAAGCUGCAGAGCUCUGAAAGACAACAAAACAGCCCCAUCCAACAUCCAGCAUUCCUCCUGGGCAACACUGAGGCAAAUUUCUCCAUCAAUGCUCAACCCCCUGUUUGGCAGUGACACGGAGUGGGAAGUCCGCUUUUCAAAGUCUGCAGUUAUCCCAAGAAGAUGAGUAGCUGGGCGGUGUCACGUACAUCGCAGCUCUCAUCCAAAGCCAGAGAAAAAUCGACCGCUCUGUUCUUCAGCUGAAGCUCCAAGUUUCCAGCGAUGUCCUCAACCCGCCUCGUUACAGUGCAUCGGGAGAGUUAUACGUUCUCAAAUGCGCCCUUUUUCUCCGGGCACAACAACGCAACAGAGUCCAAUAAGCACUCCUUAAUAAACUCUCCGUCUGAAACGAUUUUUCUGGCGAUUUUGUGAGAAAUUACAUAACUUGU